rnacentral:misc_RNA from 1 species
UGGUGGUGGUGUGGUGGUAGUAGUGGUUGUGGUGGUACUGUAGUAGUAGUAGUAGUAGUAGUAGUAGUAGUAGUAUGUUAGGCGCACUGAUUCAGUAGAGAUGGAUAUAUUUGUACUUGUGCAUUGUGACGUAUCCUGUACUUUGUGAGCACCAUCCACACGCAUUGCCUCUCGUCAUACAGGCCUGAUACCCGUCCUGCUGUACUUGCGACGCGUCUGUUUGAGUUGACAUGUAGUGCAUCAUGUAAUAUACUCUGUAACCUUGAUAGGUGCUACAACUAUUAACAUAUAUUUUGAAGCCACUUUGAGAUAAUACACUUGAGUAAUUAACACACCUUACUAAGCACAAGAUUUGAAUGUGUAAGUAAUUUCCGUGUUACUCCUUGCAAACUCCACCACCACAACUCACGGACCACAGUGCCCGCUAGACUCAGCACCUCAGCUUCCUUGGGUGGCGUGAUUGACUCCAGUGAUAUUCGUUAUGACCAAACUGGUGAAAGACUUUCCGGCAGUGUCAGAACAUUAAGUGACCCGCCUUAAUUCACCUUGUAUAUAUAAAUUGUAUAAACUUAUAAUCUGAUACACUUAAACCACAACACCUCUGGAGUGCACCUACCCACAAACUAAACACUAAUACCAAUUAUUUACCGCUCGACUACUAACGCUGCUGUGCUGAAGUUCCACCUGUGGCACUCAUUACCUGCCAGAUUACCUGCUGUCUUCAGUUCACCCUGCCAGUGAGUCGCCGACCCUGUCAUCGCCUGGUGACUCAACAGGUGUGUGCUAUCUGUGUCGGUGAGGAACACAACUGAUGCAGGUGACAUAACGGUUUGCAGCUUGGGAUAAACCUAUGUGCAAAACUGUGUCUAAAACCUCCAUAAACUAAGUGAAAAACUUGAGUGAGUGAUAAACACUAAACAUUGUGGAACGAGGUGAGUGAACGAAAGCCAUAGAGAAAGUAAGGAGUGGAGUGGCAGUCGGACCCUGUGAGCUGCACCGUUCCGCUGUCCUUAGCAAAACGUGAAUCAAAACAGCGGCCGUGUUUACAGCUCCGCGCGCCCACUCAUACCGAUCUUGCCUGGCGAGAUUGACCCUUAAAACUCUCUCUACUUAAGUGCUCUUUACCUCCACCCCACCACAUGAGGCAGUCCAGCAUCACACACACACACACACAGACCGUGAUAACCGUCACCGCCAACAGCCCAACCCACACUCAUGCAACCAAAACUCAUCUUCUUGUAUCGAGCAACCAACAACGCCGUGGAGUCUGACGUCCCUGCCUAUACACGACGUGAGGACGAUGGAACGCUGUACAAGUCACCGUGUUGACUUUCGAAGCGAGCGCCGCGGCCCUCCCUCCCAGCGCCAUAGUGCCCCGCCCAGCCUCGCCCCGCCCCACGGAGCACUGCAGCCUUCCUCACCAGCACCUAGCCUGCCCCGCACUCAUACGCUACGUUUAUACGUGAAUAUUAAAUAUGGGGGAGGUGGUGCCAGUAUAGAACGCAGCUCCUGUACUUCGAGAAGAUCGUGUACCGCCCCUACUGCGCAUGCGCCAACCACGGAAAAGAUACAGUACGCAGCCGUCAGCCAGUAAGCCUCUGGUCACCAUCCUGAACACUUGGGCAGGGCGCGUGGAUAUGUUGCCUUCAGGGUGUCUGUCGCUCGCUCUCAGUUAUCAUUCGUCUUCUCAGAUGAUGUGGCCGUUCUUUUGAUAGAGAAACGGAAACUAAAAUGAAAGCAUAUUCCCAUGCCCUUUCUCUCUCUCUCUCUCUCUCUCUCUCUCUCUCUCUCUCUCUCUCUCUCUCUCUCUCUCUCUUGCGUAAUUUCAUUAUUGGCAUGACACAGUAUUGUAAGGAAAUCUUCCAAGUUUAUUCAGAAAGUAGAAUAGGUAUUGUAAAAACUGAAGUAAUGGCACUUCACUCAUGCAUUUGUGUGUGUGUGUGUGUGUGUGUGUGUGUGUGUGUGUGUGUGUGUGUUAUGGUAUAUAUGCAUAUUUCCAACAUACUUUUCCUGAAUAUCAAUUAAUUAACAUUUGUUUAUACUUAAUAAAAUAUUUUUUCCAUAAUUAAGAUGAUGCUGAUAAUUUCACUAUACAGAAUUUCACAUUGAUAGAUGGUGGACCUAUAUAUAGUCCUUUUCUAAAUAUACAUAACCUGGUAGACAGCAGUUUGUUUUAACCCCUUCACUACUGGAACGCAUUUUUACCAGAGUUUUGGGUAUGAUUAGACAAUUUUAUUUACAUUAUGAACUAUCUAUGGAGGUGAGAAGGUUAAUGGCCAGAGUCUUCACUAUUUUAAUCCUCACAUAAGUUUGAGAGGCUGUAUGACAUCACUAAAUAGUAACCAAAACCAAUAUGGAAACGCGUUCUGGUACUGAAGGGGUUAAAUCAUUUUUCCUUCUAGGUAACCCUUAAUUGCAGCAGGAGCCCUUUCAGGCACUAUACCGCUCCAGGCCAGAGUGGACCUGGACUACUAUCAUUAUAUCAUUGGUAGUAAGAAUCUUAGUAGUUACUUUGAAUUUUAUUGACUAGUUAUCGUCUCACUCUAGGUAUCUCAGAAUGACUUUUCAAAGUUUUGUGCUUUAUCAUCUGCUUCCUUCCAUAGGUCCAAUGCACCCCAUCUGAGCUCAACAGCUCCUCAUAUACUGGCAUGUUGAACUGAAUGAAACUGUUCUUUCUUUGAUUUACGAUUGACGCGCCUUUGAAUAUGACGAUACCGAUCACUAGACACAGGGUAAUCAUAGGGGUAGUAUCGUGGCUCCACCAGAACUAUGAUUACAUCGGCUCCACAGUUUUCAACUCUGGAGUCCCUGAUGGACACUAUAUUGUCAACUAUCUCCUGCACUUCAGAAUCUUCAUCGGUGUCAUUGGAGCCUAUCCAUAAAAUACAUAGGUCAUGUUCCCAGUUUAACACGUCCGACACGCGAUGAUGAUUCCAAAAAUGAUAAUCUUUACCUUCAGGAGCUCCAAAUAUUCAUAUUUCCUCUCCACUUACUUGCAACAUUUUUGGGAGUUGUCUGUGACUAACAAGUGAUACGGACAUGUUUUUUUUUCUAAUGUAGACCGGUGUAUCUGAAGUCAGAACACUCCAAUAACCAUACUGAUCAUGUUAGAGCAUAAACAGUAUUCGAUGUAAAAGUUAUCACUAAGUACCUGCCUACAAGAUGAAACAGAUGGAUACUGGAUCAUUUGCUGUGGGGCGCCUGGCCUUUGGUUGUCUAAUGGCUCGCUUGCAACGGUGGCUGUUGGCAGCUGCUUAUUGAUGACGAUCUGUAAAUGGUUGUAUUAUUAAUUAGAGUUAAUGAUUUGUCAUUUGUCCUCUCACUUGUUCCCAACAACUGUUCUGUACAAUAAAGUGAAUCACCUCA